CUGAGUAGCAAUACAAGGGGAAGACCUAGUGGCGAACGGGUGAGUAUCACGUGAGAAACCAACCCCGGUCUCUGGGAUAACAGUUGGAAACGACUGCUAAUACUGGAUGUCGUCGUACCCUCGCAUGGGGGGAUGACGAAAGGGUUACCGGAUCGGGACGGUCUCGCGGCCUAUCAGCUUGUUGGGGAGGUAACGGCUCACCAAGGCUUCGACGGGUAGCUGGUCUGAGAGGAUGAUCAGCCACACUGGGACUGAGACACGGCCCAGACUCCUACGGGAGGCAGCAGUGGGGAAUCUUGCGCAAUGGGCGAAAGCCUGACGCAGCAACGCCGCGUGCGGGAUGAAGGCCUUCGGGUUGUAAACCGCUUUUAACAGGAACGAAAAUGACGGUACCUGUAGAAUAAGGUGCGGCCAACUACGUGCCAGCAGCCGCGGUGACACGUAGGCACCAAGCGUUGUCCGGAUUUAUUGGGCGUAAAGAGCUCGUAGGCGGUUCAGUAAGUCGGGUGUGAAAACUCUGGGCUUAACCCA
rnacentral:rRNA from 1 species